rnacentral:lncRNA from 1 species
UUUUUUUUUUUUUUUUUUUUUUUUAGACGGAGCAUUUAUUUGGGAUGAGGAAAGGAAAUUGAGCAGAAGGUACAGGAGUAAUAGCAAUUCCCUGUAGCUCUCAAAGCAAAUUUUGAGCUCAUUUUUCUUUUUCUGCAAGCUCAGCAGCAGAAUGCCCAGAGUCUUCCCUGGUAGAUGCAGAAUGCCCAGAGUCUUCCCUGGUAGAUGCAGGUUCCAUAGCGACGUUCUCCUGCAAUGCACGCUGGUAUUCUGCAAUAGCAGGCCAUAGUCUUCCCUGGUAGAUGCAGGUUCCAUAGCGACGUUCUCCUGCAAUGCACGCUGGUAUUCUGCAAUAGCAGUCCAUGUUUUUCCUUGAGCCUGGGACAGGGAGAGCAUGAGAAAUUGAGUAUGGAGUUAGCAGUGGGUAAGAAAAAGAAUCUCGGGGAAGUCACAUGCUAGCUGACAGGUGAUGCUGGCUGCAUUGCAGCCGUUAGCACGAACAACCUCAGUCGAUAGGAAUAAACACGCAGAGCAGUGCUUGUCACACAGAAUUUGAGACUCAUUCUCCUUUGCUCUCAUUUUUGCAUUCCUGCCCCAUCACACACACACCUGAACAUACCCUCAGGCUUGGCUGCAGUUUUUAAAAGCUCUUCUGUAGAGUAAAAUGUUCUCUUUACAACUAAGUCUACUUGUUUAGAUCCAGAAAUAACUAGUCUGUCUCUUCAUAUCUUAAACUUAGUGAAUUUCACAGAUGUUUCUUGGAAUCAAGUCUUUGGAGAAAUAAAGUUUCUCAGGUUUAUUUGGCUCUCUGUUCAAUUUCUAGAUGAGAAAAUCAAUGCCCAGAGAUUCUAAGUGAAGCCACCUCAGUGACAUAGACUGCUGAGACCCAACUCUGGAACCUCUCUCCCGUCCUUCCCUCUAGACUUAGCAGCUCUGCAUGCCUGCC